rnacentral:rRNA from 1 species
AUUGAACGCUGGCGGCAGGCCUAACACAUGCAAGUCGAACGAGUGGCGUACGGGUUAGUAAUGUCUGGGAAACUUCCUGAUGGAUGGGGAUAACUACUGGAAACUGUAGCUAAUACCGCAUACCAUCAGAUGUGCCCCGAUGGGAUUCGCUUGUUGUUGGGGUAACGGCUCACAAAGGCGACGAACCCUAGCUGGUCUGAGAGGAUGAACAGCCACACUGGAACUGAGACACGGUCCAGACUCCUACGGGAGGCAGCAGUGGGGAAUAUUGCACAAUGGGCGCAAGCCUGAUGCAGCCAUGCCGCGUGUAUGAAGAAGGCCUUCGGGUUGUAAAGUACUUUCAGCGGGGAGGCGUUACCAGCAGAAGAAGCACCGGCUAACUCCGUGCCAGCCGCCGCGGUAAUUC